CAUCUUGCUCCAUAAAUUCAUGCCUUCAAAUGAGUAUUUCAUCUCUACAAUUAUUCGUGUUAACUAUAUUCAUUCAAAAACCCAAAUAAAAAUUCAAGAUUUUUUCCAAAAUUGGUAUUUCAUACCUUAAUAUAAGUAGCCUUCCCAAUUCAAAAAUAUUGGCUUGCUAACAUAUCCCUUCCUUCAAUCUGGAAAUUAAACCAAUAAAUCACAACCGUAAAAAAAUUAAGCAUACAACAUACCAAGAAAUUUGUCAAAUUGAAGAUGAAAUUGGAAUAGCCAAGCCUACCUUUUUUCCUUUCUUGCUUUUCUUCUUUCUCUCUUUCCUUUCUCUUUUCUUUCUUUCUUCUCGAUUUUUCCAGCUUCU
rnacentral:lncRNA from 1 species